AACAGGAUUAGAUACCCUGGUAGUCCACGCCGUAAACGAUGUCGACUUGGAGGUUGUUCCCUUGAGGAGUGGCUUCCGGAGCUAACGCGUUAAGUCGACCGCCUGGGGAGUACGGCCGCAAGGUUAAAACUCAAAUGAAUUGACGGGGGCCCGCACAAGCGGUGGAGCAUGUGGUUUAAUUCGAUGCAACGCGAAGAACCUUACCUACUCUUGACAUCCAGAGAAUUUAGCAGAGAUGCUUUAGUGCCUUCGGGAACUCUGAGACAGGUGCUGCAUGGCUGUCGUCAGCUCGUGUUGUGAAAUGUUGGGUUAAGUCCCGCAACGAGCGCAACCCUUAUCCUUUGUUGCCAGCGGUUCGGCCGGGAACUCAAAGGAGACUGCCAGUGAUAAACUGGAGGAAGGUGGGGAUGACGUCAAGUCAUCAUGGCCCUUACGAGUAGGGCUACACACGUGCUACAAUGGCAUAUACAAAGAGAAGCGACCUCGCGAGAGCAAGCGGACCUCACAAAGUAUGUCGUAGUCCGGAUCGGAGUCUGCAACUCGACUCCGUGAAGUCGGAAUCGCUAGUAAUCGUAGAUCAGAAUGCUACGGUGAAUACGUUCCCGGGCCUUGUACACACCGCCCGUCACACCAUGGGAGUGGGUUGCAAAAGAAGUAGGUAGCUUAACCUUCGGGAGGGCGCUUACCACUUUGUGAUUCAUGACUGGGGUGAAGUCGUAACAAGGUAACC
rnacentral:rRNA from 1 species